GCACCUAGUUCCGAUAACCAGUCUGAUUUUGCAGUGCAGACUCUGGUGGAGCUGUUGUGCCAAAACAAUGCUGAGUAAAUCCAGAUGUGUCUCCUCUAAAUUGAGACUUAUCUCUACAACUUUGCAACAUUA